GGACGAACGCUGGCGGCGUGCUUAACACAUGCAAGUCGAGCGGUAAGGCCCUUUCGGGGUACACGAGCGGCGAACGGGUGAGUAACACGUGGGUGACCUGCCCCUUAGCUCUGGGAUAAGCCUGGGAAACUGGGUCUAAUACCGGAUAUGUACUCCAUGACGCAUUGUUGUGGGGUGGAAAGCCUUGUGCGGCUAGGGAUGGGUCCCGCGGCCUAUCAGCUUGUUGGUGGGGUGAUGGCCUACCAAGGCGACGA
rnacentral:rRNA from 1 species